CACACAGUCAUGACACCUGAGCAGCUAAUCACAUGGCGGAUCUCUGAGGUGCGGAUGUCUGCGCAGUGCUUUGGCAUGAGGCAGCGGUGGCUUCUGGGUAAGCCUCGGCCCUGGAGGAGUUCAGGCUUCCACUUGACACAUCUCCUGGGGAUUCUGCUGAACUGACUUGGAGCAUCGAUCCAGAGGGUCUCCCAGAUGAAAAGGCUUAAAGGGAAAGCAAGCAAGCAAGCAAAGCUCUCUUGAGAAGUUGCUGUAAAGGGAGCAUCAUCCGUCCAUCUGGUGACUGCUGCGAGCUCAGGUUGCUCUGCAAGGAGGCCUGCUGAGCGGGUGACUGAGCAGGGAACUGUUAGGGGCUGGGCUGUAACUGUCCCCUUUGCUGAAAUCAUAACUGCAGAGCCUCCGUGUGGGGACUGCUUGGAGAAAGGAAGGGAAUGUUCAUUGCUUUGCUAUGAUAAACCACCAUGACUGUAUUAGUCAGGGCUCUCUAGGGUAACAGCGUUUAUAGAAUGAGAGUCUCUCUAUAGAAAGGGGAUUGCUGGAAUGAGUAUCAGGGCUGCAGGCCAGCAAAUCCAACAACGGCUGGCUGUGAAGGAGGAACUAAGAAUCCAGAAGAUGCCCAGUCUCCGAGGCUGGUCUCAGAUAGUAUUCGGGAGACAUUGGAAUCCUGAAGAAGAAGGUUCCAAUGUCAGGGGAGGGAUGGACUUGCAACCAAGGCAAGGGCAAGCCCGCAAAGAGCAGAGCCUCCUUCUUCCAUGUCCUUAUAUAUGGCCCAGGACAAAGGUGCAUUUUUCCCACCUCAAGAUGCAGGUUAAAACUGUGUGUCUUCCUAUCUCGAAGGUAGGUCCCGACCAGAAGUGGAUUCAACCACUUCAAAGCAAGCAAAAUAAAUAAAUAAA